rnacentral:lncRNA from 1 species
AGCCCAUGCUAGUUAGAUCAGUCAUAUGAUGACUGAUUAGAUGAGAUCUAAAUCAAAAUUUAUUCAUAAAUAUUAAAUUCAUAGGUCUUCCAUUAUUGUAGAUAUGCGGGCGUAUUGCCGGCAUUGAUUAUUUUUGAUUGGUCACAGUUGUUCAGUUGCAUCUGGAACAUGCAACCACUCUAUUAGUAAAGAGUUGCUCUAAGGUAAGGAUGGGG